AUUGAACGCUGGCGGCAGGCCUAACACAUGCAAGUCGAGCGGAUGAAGGGAGCUUGCUCCUGGAUUCAGCGGCGGACGGGUGAGUAAUGCCUAGGAAUCUGCCUGGUAGUGGGGGAUAACGUCCGGAAACGGGCGCUAAUACCGCGUACGUCCUGAGGGGGAAAGUGGGGGAUCUUCGGACCUCACGCUAUCAGAUGAGCCUAGGUCGGAUUAGCUAGUUGGUGGGGUAAAGGCCUACCAAGGCGACGAUCCGUAACUGGUCUGAGAGGAUGAUCAGUCACACUGGAACUGAGACACGGUCCAGACUCCUACGGGAGGCAGCAGUGGGGAAUAUUGGACAAAGGGCGAAAGCCUGAUCCAGCCAUGCCGCGUGUGUGAAGAAGGUCUUCGGAUUGUAAAGCACUUUAAGUUGGGAGGAAGGGCAGUAAGUUAAUACCUUGCUGUUUUGACGUUACCAACAGAAUAAGCACCGGCUAACUUCGUG
rnacentral:rRNA from 1 species